rnacentral:rRNA from 1 species
ACGGAAGGCAGCAGUGGGGAAUAUUGGGCAAUGGGCGAAAGCCUGACCCAGCAACGCCGCGUGAAGGAAGAAGGUCUUCGGAUUGUAAACUUCUUUUAUGAGGGACGAAGGACGUGACGGUACCUCAUGAAUAAGCCACGGCUAACUACGUGCCAGCAGCCGCGGUAAUACGUAGGUGGCAAGCGUUAUCCGGAUUUACUGGGUGUAAAGGGCGCGUAGGCGGGGAGACAAGUCAGGUGUGAAAUCUAUGGGUUUAACCCAUAAACUGCAUUUGAAACUGUAUCUCUUGAGUGCUGGAGAGGUAGAUGGAAUUCCUUGUGUAGCGGUGAAAUGCGUAGAUAUAAGGAAGAACACCAGUGGCGAAGGCGAUCUACUGGACAGUAACUGACGCUGAGGCGCGAAAGCGUGGGGAGCAACCAGGAUUAGAUACCCUGGUA